AUGCGGAGGGUGCAAGCGUUAUUCGGAAUCACUGGGCGUAAAGGACGCGUAGGCGGGUUGGCAAGUCAGAUGUGAAAUCCUACAGCUUAACUGUAGAACUGCAUUUGAAACUGCUAACCUAGAGUAUGGGAGGGGGAGAUGGAAUUAGUGGUGUAGGGGUAAAAUCCGUAGAUAUCACUAGGAAUACCGAAAGCGAAGGCGAUCUCCUGGAACAUAACUGACGCUAAGGCGUGAAAGCGUGGGGAGCAAACAGGAUUAGAAACCCUAGUAGUCC
rnacentral:rRNA from 1 species